rnacentral:rRNA from 1 species
UACGUAGGGUGCGAGCGUUGUCCGGAAUUAUUGGGCGUAAAGAGCUCGUAGGCGGCCUGUCGCGUCGGAUGUGAAAGCCCCGGGGGCUUAACCCCGGGUCUGCAUUCGAUACGGGCAGGCUAGAGUGUGGUAGGGGGAGAUCGGAAUUCCUGGUGUAGCGGUGAAAUGCGCAGAUAUCAGGAGGAACACCGGUGGCGAAGGCGGAUCUCUGGGCCAUUACUGACGCUGGAGGAGCGAAAGCGUGGGGGAGCGAACAGG